UGCAAGUCGAGCGGCAGCGCGGGGCAACCUGGCGGCGAGCGGCGAACGGGUGAGUAAUGCAUCGGAACAUGUCCAUGUCGUGGGGGAUAGCCCGGCGAAAGCCGGAUUAAUACCGCAUACGCCCGAGAGGGGAAAGUGGGGGACCGCAAGGCCUCACGCGAUUGGGUUGGCCGAUGUCCGAUUAGCUAGUUGGCGGGGUAAGAGCCCACCAAGGCGAUGAUCGGUAGCUGGUCUGAGAGGAUGAUCAGCCACACUGGGACUGAGACACGGCCCAGACUCCUACGGGAGGCAGCAGUGGGGAAUUUUGGACAAUGGGGGCAACCCUGAUCCAGCCAUUCCGCGUGAGUGAAGAAGGCCUUCGGGUUGUAAAGCUCUUUUGUCCGGAGCGAAAAGGUUACGGUGAAUAUCCGUGACUACUGACGGUACCGGAAGAAUAAGCACCGGCUAACUACGUGCCAGCAGCCGCGGUAAUACGUAGGGUGCGAGCGUUAAUCGGAAUUACUGGGCGUAAAGCGUGCGCAGGCGGUUUUGUAAGCCAGAUGUGAAAUCCCCGGGCUUAACCUGGGAAUGGCAUUUGGGACUGCAAGGCUGGAGUGUGGCAGAGGAGACUGGAAUUCCCGGUGUAGCAGUGAAAUGCGUAGAUAUCGGGAGGAAUACCGAUGGCGAAGGCAGGUCUCUGGGCUGACACUGACGCUCAUGCACGAAAGCGUGGGGAGCAAACAGGAUUAGAUACCCUGGUAGUCCACGCCCUAAACGAUGUCGACUGGU
rnacentral:rRNA from 1 species